rnacentral:lncRNA from 1 species
UCUGUCUUACAGGUGCGACCAUCUCCUGAAUCGGCCGAUGUAUCUCUGAAAAGUAAAUCUCAGUCAUCACACCUCACCAAUUUAUAUUUUAUUCUCAAUGAUAUUUCAGCCCAAAAAUCACCAAAACAUCCCAACUGGCCGUUUAUACAUGGCUGACCUAAAAUCUCAAGCAAACAACAAUAAUUCAACAAUAAUUCAAUAUAAAACUCAAUCAAACUCAACAAUAAUCAAUCAAAUCAAUAUUUACUCAUAAAAUUCAUAUUUAAUGAUUAUAAAGUUACCAAAUCCUCCUUCUAUAUAGAAAUUACAACAACGAAAACUCCGGAGAAACUUUCUGACUGAGUUGCUGAAGAAGAAAACGUUAGAAAUCGUCUGUGUCUCCUAGAACUCUAAUUGGCCGAACUCAAGAAAAAUGGAGCUAUUUCACCAUCAACUUCUACUGAACAAAAGUAACGUCAACGUAAAGAGGAAGAAGAUACGAACACUUUUAUCGGAUUAGAUUUUUUAUUGGAGUUACGGAUCUCAAGAAAUCGAACGCCGAAGGUUUGUGGAAGGUUUGUGGCCUGGCUUCCAUGGAAUUUUUCGUGCUCUCUCUCUUUUCCUUUCUUGGCUUCGG